GCACGCGUGCUACACUGAUGCCCCCAGAGAGUGUCCUAUCUUCCCUGGAGAGGUUGGGCAAUCUGCCAACCUGUGUCGUGAUGGGGAUGGAUCAUUGCAACUAUUGCUCCUAAACGAGGAAUUCCUAGUAAAAGCAGGUCAUCAACUUGCAUUGAUUGUGUCCCUGCCCUUUGUACACACCGCCCGUCGCUCCUACCGAUUGAGUGGUCCGGUGAAUAGUUUGGACCUGCUGUAGCAUCCAGUCAUGGAGCAGCACAGCCAGAAAUUCAGUGAACCUUAUCACUUAGAGGAAGGAG
rnacentral:rRNA from 1 species